UCCCUGGUGGUUUAGAGGUUAGGACCCAGCACUUUCACCACUGUGGCCCAGGUUCAAUCCCUGGUCUGAGAA
rnacentral:tRNA from 1 species